CCCUCUACUAUGAAGAAUGAGGCCAGCAGAGUGAAAAAGGGAAUUCUUGGAGGGUGGUAUGCCCCUCUAUUUGGCCUAUGAUUUCCCCAUAAACAAAAUUAACAACCAUCUUCGGAAGUGCUAGUGGUGAAAUUGAACAAGGGGAUGAAAGAAGUGAAGAUACAUGAUCCACUAAGGAGGAUUGGGUUAAUUUCUUGGAAAAUUGAAAACUUGUGUGUUCCACCUCUUGAAUGGUCAAACAUUAUCUUGAUAUUUUGCUUUUAUGUAUAUUUCUUGACCUCUUGGAUUAUUAUUUUGGUAUGAUGUUGGAUCUUGUAUUAUUAUUUUGGUAUGAUGUCGGAUCUUGAAUUAUUAUUUUGGUAUAUAUGAUGUGGGAUCUUGGAUUA